UAUUUAUAUUUAUUACUGCCUUUUAUUACUAAUACUUUCAAAUUAUUUGUUACAUUGCACACAAACUACAAUUUGGAGGACAUGGACGAGGACAUGUCAAUCGGCUCUUCUCUGAACGUUACAAGCAGUGGAAGAAUGACCUACACCAAUGUUUCCAGUAGUUUGAUGAUCCGCAGGUCGCUCUCGAGGAGGGUUGUCCAAAAGAGUUGGAGGACCGAUAAGAUAGUUGGGUUUGGCUUUGCGAUCAUUUUCAGAAGCUGGGCUAUAUGAAGAAGGCGAAGGCGAACAAGAUCAAUCGAGAGAAGAAGACUCUUCACCACCAUUCGGGUUUGAGGCCUUUCUCCUAUAGGAUGGAGGUAUGAUGAAAGGAAGGUUCAAAAUUUCCAGAGAUCGACGUCUUUGCUGACGUUUAUGUUUAGCCUGGGGAUGAGUUGACCAAGUCCCUUCAUGUGACUAUGGUGGAGAAGAGUUAGUCGGUGCUUCAGGAGUCUGCCUCCCAGCUUCCCUCGGACACACUGAUUGAGUUUGUGGACUCCCCUGAGGAUGCAGGGUUUCACAUCAUCACAGAGAUGUUGGACCAGACUUUCGGUUGAAGGCCAGGGACAUAUUGUCGGGGGAUGGGAAAUGUCAGGCGGCGGGAGAGUGGAGCCUCGUCAUCCUCGCAGUCAAAGAGCUAGGUUACGAGUUUGACGCGGGAAGUCAUUGGCCUGAGGAAUGAGUUGGCAUCGUACAAGUCUCAAAUGUCAAUGCUUAUACAAGCCCUCAGUUCCUCCGAAAAACGUCUCCCCGGUUUUUCUGCACCAUUGCCCUCAGAGCCAUUCCACAUUGAGCAAACACAGCAAUCAGGCCCGUCGACCUCCGACCCCGUCCCCAACUAGCAGCAAGAUUACCAAACACCUUCGAACAACAUGCCUAUAGAUUUUUUUCAUAGUUUUGUUCCUGCUUUCUUUUAAAACUUUA